rnacentral:misc_RNA from 1 species
GUGAAUCAUCGAAUCUUUGAACGCAUAUUGCGCUUCCUGGUAUUCCGGGGAGCAUGCUCGUUUCAGAAUCAUUAAAAUCUCACAAGUUCUUUGCUGUGUUUUCACAGCUCUGGAUGAGUGUAGUUGUGCUACCUUUCUGUCUUUGCAAAAGGACAGUAGUGCCAAAAUGAUAAGUGCGUAUGCCCACGUAAAAUUGAACGGGGAACACAAAAGAGCAACAGGACUUUCUUAUUCUCUUUUGCGGAACCGCAAUAUUUUGCUAGGGCUUUGCAGCACCUCUCCAAACACUUAACAGUCUCG